GUUUGAUCAUGGCUCAGGAUGAACGCUAGCGGCAGGCCUAACACAUGCAAGUCGAGGGGUAGGGGAAGCUUGCUUCCUUGAGACCGGCGCACGGGUGCGUAACGCGUAUGCAAUCUACCUUAUACUGAGGGAUAGCCCAGAGAAAUUUGGAUUAAUACCUCAUAGUAUUAUUGAAUGGCAUCAUUUGAUAAUUAAAGUCACAACGGUAUAAGAUGAGCAUGCGUCCCAUUAGUUAGUUGGUAAGGUAACGGCUUACCAAGACAAUGAUGGGUAGGGGUCCUGAGAGGGAGAUCCCCCACACUGGUACUGAGACACGGACCAGACUCCUACGGGAGGCAGCAGUGAGGAAUAUUGGUCAAUGGGCGCAAGCCUGAACCAGCCAUGCCGCGUGCAGGAUGAAGCAUCUAUGGUGUGUAAACUGCUUUUAUACAGGAAGAAACACUCCCUCGUGAGGGAGCUUGACGGUACUGUAGGAAUAAGGACCGGCUAACUCCGUGCCAGCAGCCGCGGUAAUACGGAGGGUCCAAGCGUUAUCCGGAAUCAUUGGGCUUAAAGGGUCCGUAGGC
rnacentral:rRNA from 1 species